rnacentral:SRP_RNA from 3 species
GGCCGGGUCCUAUGCAAUGCUGGACAGGCGAACCCCGUCAGGCCCGGAAGGGAGCAGCGGUAGUUUGAACGGUAUGUGCCGUAGGGUGCCUGGCCACU